UUUGCUUAUAUUGUAUCUUAAUUGUUUAUUCAUUUUUGUAUUCUUCAUUUAGUUUAAUUUUACCAUACUUCACGUUCACUAAAAUUUGUGCAUAGUAAAUUUUAAAUUUUUAAAAAUUCAAUUCAUUUUUCUUUUUAGAUUAUCUUUUUGGGCAACAUCAUAUCUCUUAGCUAUAAAUAAAUAUAGAGCCUUCAUCAAAAGUAAUCCAUAAAUC
rnacentral:lncRNA from 1 species